rnacentral:tRNA from 1 species
GCCUGGCCAGCUCAGUUGGUAGAGCAUGGGACGCUUGAUCUCAGGAUUGUGGGUUUGAGCCCCAUGCUAAUCA